UACGUAGGGGGCGAGCGUUGUCCGAAGUUACUGGGCGUAAAGGGCGCGUAGGCGGUUCGUUAAGUCCUGUGUGAAAUCCCCCGGCUCAACUGGGGAACUGCACAGGAAACUAGCGGGCUUGAGUUCGGGAGAGGGAAGCGGAAUUCCGGGUGUAGCGGUGAAAUGCGUAGAUAUCCGGAGGAACACCGGUGGCGAAGGCGGCUUCCUGGACCGUAACUGACGCUGAGGCACGAAAGCGUGGGUAGCAAACAGG
rnacentral:rRNA from 1 species